rnacentral:rRNA from 1 species
UACGAAGGGGGCUAGCGUUGUUCGGAAUCACUGGGCGUAAAGCGCACGUAGGCGGAUUGUUAAGUCGGGGGUGAAAGCCCGAGGCUCAACCUCGGAACUGCCUUCGAUACUGCGGGUCUCGAGUCCGGGAGAGGUGAGUGGAAUUCCUAGUGUAGAGGUGAAAUUCGUAGAUAUUAGGAAGAACACCAGUGGCGAAGGCGGCUCACUGGCCCGGUACUGACGCUGAGGCGCGAAAGCGUGGGGAGCGAACAGG